ACACCUCAACUCUCGCGGUUCGCCGUGAUGAGCUUGGACUUUGGGGGUCUUGCUGGCCUGCGGUCGGCUCCUCUCAAACGAAUCAGCUUGCCAGUGUUUGGUGGCAUCACGGGUGUGAUAACUAUCUACGCUUGUGGUUUUCCACCAGGUAUAACCUUCAGCAAUGGAGGUUCGCUGGGGCUCACAAACGUCUCUCCUCGGUGAGGACAGCUUCUUGAAC
rnacentral:misc_RNA from 1 species